rnacentral:ncRNA from 1 species
AAAAACCCUUGGCAUGCGGGCGCAAUCUACCUUAUCGCUCAAAAAGAGGGGAACACGGAAGCCGGUGAAAGUCCGGCACGGUCGCGCCACUGUGAUCGCGAAAGCGAAAGUCAGACACGAAUCCUCGGAAGAAAACUCAU